rnacentral:lncRNA from 1 species
GGUUAAAACUCAUACCCGGUUUUGCAGAUUUUUUUUUUCAAAACUCAUCAUUGACCACACUCUUACUGAGCAGCAGCUCUUAGAGGUAGUGUGGAGAGUGGUCAGUGGAUGAGAGGUGGCCUCUGACCUCACAGAGCUUCUGACCUGGUGGGGCAGGUGGGUCGGCCGGCCACUCAUCACAAGGGAGGGAACAUGGGCUACAGCUGGGUAUGGAGAUCAGAGUGACUACACGGUGAUACUGAGGCAUCUUGAUACCUUGUGAUAUCGGGCCAGCACAUCUCCUAUCAUCAUCCUUCAGCUCAGCAUCUUUUAUCAAUGUAACAAAAGUUUGCUUCUGUGGCCUAUACCCUCCCCUUCCUCAUUCUCAUAGAAGUGGACAGUGCAGAGGAGGUAAAAGGGGCUCCUGAGGCAGAUCCAGGGGCAGCCAGGCCCAGGGUCUAAGGCAGAUGACUCCGCAGAUGGGAGGAUUGUGAUGUGGGGACAUUGGUUUCUUAGGUAAUAAUUUAUAUGUAUUUUUAUAAUUUAUUAAAAGCAAUUCCCCCAGCUUUAUUGAGAUAUGACUGACAUAUGACAUUGUUCAUAUAUUUUUUAAUACCAAGCAUUAAAAAUUAGAUUUAACACACAAUCAUUGCUCAGAUAGGUGACUGUUUCUUUUAGAUGUGAUUGGAGUGGCACCUACUGACUGACAGGCCAAUCUGUGCGGGUCAUUAUUUCCUUCAUACAAAAGCGUCAUAGAAAAGCAUAAAAUUUUGUAGAGGCAGA